GUGCGGGUAAUCCAUGAGGGAUUCAAAACCGUUUGUGGUCGGUGAGUUUUUUUUUAUCGUGUCAUUCUCUCCUCACAAAUACUCUUUUGCAUUUUUUAUUUUAUCUUUUGCAUUCCAAAAUCCGAAAAAUGAGAAGUGUUUUAUUGUAUGCUUUCAAAAGAUAAGUGAUGUCAUUCACUUGCUUUCGGAGGUUCAACAUAUGUAGAGGUAAACAACAUCACUCACUUUCAAUACUUUGCUAGCACUAUCAUACCAUGACGAUCAUAAUAUUGAUCAACAAUCAGAGGGUUCUUGACUCAUCCAAGUUUAAUAUCUUCGUAUGCGACAUUCCUUGCAUACCCACUUCCCUUUUCCAUGUCAAUGU
rnacentral:lncRNA from 1 species